rnacentral:misc_RNA from 1 species
CACUGUUUGCGCAGAUAUCCUAAUUGAUGAAAGAUCCAAUUUGUCCGAAUAUCAGCUAUCCCAUGCAUUUCAAAAUAUGAAACAUUUAAUUGGAAGCUUGGCAGUAAUGUCGACAGACUUCAAAAGUGGCACGUUCCUAGCUUCACUGGAAUCGGUGGAGUGUAGCACGAAAAGUCGACUUAAACCGCCUGUUGAUAUAAUAGAGAACAUCUACAAUCCAAAUGCAUUUACCAACGUAAUAAAAAUCCAAAUUGAAGCCAAUUUACAUGAGGAUUUCUGCAUCACAACUCAAGAAAUGCAGACUUUCAUCACCACAGAGUUUGCUUCACUAAACUGUAGACCAUGCAAGAUUUGCGAAAACAAUGUAAAUAUGUGCAAUGACUCACUAGAGAACUUGUUAGAUAAUUGUACACAUGUUAAUGGAAAUGUUAUGAUAGGACCUGAAAAUGAGCAUCUUGAGCACCAAUUUGACUCAUAUUGCGUUCUUAGAGAAUUUGAAGCAUAUUUUAACUUUUAACUAUAGCGUUUCAAUUAUUAUCGAAAACAAUCCGCAGUUUUCAAAUUUAACAUUUCCAAAUUUAAAGCGUAUCUACACAAACUCCUUGCUCACUGCCAUUAUGCUCAACAACAACAGUGACAUUUUAUCUCCCAACUUUAAAAAUUGUGACCUGAUUCAUGCACAAUUCAAAUACCUGAAAACCAAGUCAAUCUCGCUAGAUGAGAACACGUGUGAAGCAAUUCAAAGAUCGGCAAACAAUACAUUGGAAGGAAAACUUGCAAACCAUCCAAGUUUAGGAAUCAUGGGAUUUCUGAAUUUGAUAAUUAUAUUGGGCGCUUUGUGA